AGAGAGAGACAGAGAGAAAGAGAGAGAGAUAGAGAGGGGCAGAGAGAGAGAGAGAGGUAGAGAGAGAGAGGGGGAGAAGGAAAGAGGGGCGGGUACGUGAGCACUGAGUGAGGUUGGCUGAGAAUAAGAGUGUGUGACAGGGAAACUGUUGCACGCGUUGCACUUUAACACAAUAUCUCCCUUUUGAAGGAGAUUCAAGCUUUCUUUGGACUUGCUCUAUGACCGGGCGGUUUUACUGGGUUGUCUGACUACGGAUGAACUCAAGACAACAGGCCUAAUCUAUUCAGCAGCAGACGGAAUACAAUACGACUACGGUUCAUUCACAACUAUUUAGACGUUAAAAUGACAGGGAAAAUCCUCCUUCUUAUACUGGAGUUACUGUUUAUGCUCAAGGGUUCCUAUUCAUUCUGCCGAGUAGUUGAUGCCCACGUGACAAAAGAAGAGUGUGAACAGAACACAUUCGGUAUAUGUGGACACCACGCAAAGUGUACCUUCACUCCGAUAAGUCCCUGCUGCGAGUGUCUGCCUGGGUUCAACCGACGACUGGUGUUGGACACAUUUAACA